rnacentral:lncRNA from 1 species
GGCCCAACAGACAAAACCCCAAUAUGGAUUAGUGCAGGGGAGAAGACUCUGGCAACAGGGUGUCAGUCCACAAGGAGCUGAGUAGAAAGGUAUUUUACAGAGGAGGAUAACCUUGUCCAAACCCUAAUAUGUGUUUUUUCAAAAGAGCUUGCAACCUUUUGGAACCCAUGUAAUAGCAGAAGUCUAAAGUCAGUGAAAGGAAAUGACUGACCCAGGGUCUGUCUGUAAGUUGGGGCUGUAGAAAUCUGGGUUUUUCCAUUUCUGACUCUCUGUCUACAAAUUUUCUCUUCUUCCAUUCUCAUCAGGUCUGGAACAGGAACAGCUUCAUAUAUAAGAAAAAUACCAGCUGGUUUUCCCUGGGUCCUCCCAGAUCAAAGCUCUUAGCGAAAGCCCAGAGGAGAGAUGGGGCCGAUUCUCUAUGGGCCGCGGCUAGAGGGAGGCUCAUGGCCUCCCACCCAUGCAUCUGAACGUGUUCCUCUUUGCUCCUCUCCUGCCUGGCAUGAAAGAUAAAAAGAUGGCACACUGCUGGCACUGUUACCUUAGAUCUAUUGCCUUUCCAUUGGGCUGGCUGAAACGCUGCGGACUGCGACCAGUCUCUUAAAAAGAAGAACAAAAAGAGGAAGACCUUGAGUGGACCCCAGGACAAAGCACUUUGGGCUCGGCAAGAAGGGACGCGCGGGAGCGCUGGCUCCGAACCGGAGUGAUCUCGGGUGCCCAAGAGCGCCCAUCCAGCGUGCGGACCUCUGAGGGUAUUCGGAUUGAAUUUUAUUUAUCUUUUUGGCAU